rnacentral:rRNA from 1 species
UAUUGGACAAUGGGGGCAACCCUGAUCCAGCCAUGCCGCGUGAGUGAAGAAGGCCCUCGGGUUGUAAAGCUCUUUUGUCCGGAAAGAAAGGCAUUCGGUGAAUACCCGGAUGUGAUGACGUUACCGGAAGAAUAAGCACCGGCCAACUUCGUGCCAGCAGCCGCGGUAAUACGAAGGGUGCAAGCGUUACUCGGAAUUACUGGGCGUAAAGCGUGCGUAGGUGGUUUGUUAAGUCUGAUGUGAAAGCCUUGGGCUCAACCUGGGAAUGGCAUUGGAUACUGGCAGGCUAGAGUGCGGUAGAGGGCAGUGGAAUUCCCGGUGUAGCAGUGAAAUGCGUAGAGAUCGGGAGGAACAUCUGUGGCGAAGGCGACUGCCUGGACCAGCACUGACACUGAGGCACGAAAGCGUGGGGAGCAAACAGG